UUUUAGAAUGCAGAGAAGAAACUAAGGUGGU
rnacentral:piRNA from 1 species